GGUCCUUUAAGGUCUUGAACAUCGGUUUCCUGACUUGAGCGGGGCCCAUGCCCCUGCCAAGGAGGCUCAGCCUGGAAGCAGCUAGCCGAUUUCCCAUCUGCCCCACCAAGACCCAGCAAGGAUCUCUACUUGACUUUCCUCCUUCAGGCAACCACCUAGAAAAUCGUUGUUUGUUCAUGUCACAAGUGAAAGUAUCUUUCUCAUGCGUUCAUCGUUGGCACGUCCUCCUUUGGCAAUAUUAAAACCUACCAACAAAUGAGAAAGUUUAACAUUUGCACCAUCUUGUCAUAUUCAAAAACUUUGUGCUUAGUGUUUUGAAACUCUUUAAGCUCUGUUAGCUUGGCCUGUGUCCCUGGAGGUGCAGCUUCAAGCUUAGGACCACCCACCAUGCCCAUCCAGGUGCUGAAGGGUCUGACCAUCACUCGGUAAGAACAGAGGAGACUGCCUGUUACUCGUGAUGCAUCCCUCCAGACUCUCUGCUGUUUCCUGCCUAGGCGUGGCUGCAGCCAUGGGUAGGAAAGUGCUGGCACCCACCCACCUGGGCCGGAGCUGGUUCUGCUCCUGCUACAGGGACACUGAGCUGGCUAUCUCGGCACUUCGGGCAAGAACUGCAACAGGCUCUCCUGGGUCCUGCAGGUGUACAGCCGGGCCCCUGCCUUGUGCCUCAGCUCUGGAGAGCUGCUGCUGCUGGGUGACCUGAUCCAACCUGACAAGGUGCCAUCUUCAGCUACCACUGCAAGGCCCUGAGGGCAACAGCACCACAGCACUGCCCACCCGGCUGCUGAUGGCCUGGUGCCAGCUGGGAGUCCUCCCGCCACUUGGAGGCCACUGAGCCGCCCUUCCAGCCUCGGCCCACCAUGGACAGGGGUAUCCAGCUUCCUCCUCAACCUCGUCCUCUGCCCCUGAGCCAGUGACGCCCAAGGACAUGUCUGUUACCUGGCUCCUGUACCAGCGUGAGCUGGUCAAGGGCAUGACAGUGCUGGAGGCCGUCCUGGAGAUCCAGGCCAUCACUGACAGCAGGCUGCUCUCCAUGGUGCCAGGGCCCGCCAGGCCACCAGGCUCAUGCUGGGACCCAACCCAGUGCACAAGGACUUGGCUGCUGAGCCACACACCCAGGAGAAGGUGGAUAAGUGGGCUACCAAGGGCUUCCUGCAGGCUGGGGGAGGAGCUGCCCAUACACCACCAUGAGACCUGGGCCUGGCUCUCGAGGACAGGCACCACCUGGCCUGGUGCUCCAGGGGUGAAGCCGGCCAGAAUCCUAGGGGAGCUGCUCCUGGUUUGAGCUGCAGUUAGGAAGCACGGGACAUGGUAGGGGAGGCAAAAAGCCUUGGGCGCUAACCUCCCCAUGGAGCCAUUCGGCGUCCCUCGAGCUAGCCACACCCUGACACCAUGUUCAAGGGCCCUGAAAGAGAAGGAUGUCUGCCCCCAACCUCCCCCGUGGGUGUCAACUGGCCAGACGUCAUGAGGGGAGCAGGCCUCAUGAGUGGACACUUACCGUGCGUCCCUGGAGGGAGUGAUCCCCCAGGCAUCGUGUGCCAUGUUACAUUUCUGCCCAGGCAGCAGGGUAGGUGGGUACCAUGGGUGCCCAUCCCACCAGCACAUGGGGCCCCAGAGCACUGCAGGCCAAGCAGGGCGACCCCACGCCCUUGAUAUAAAAGCAUUUUGAAGCUUUUA
rnacentral:sRNA from 1 species